UACGAAGGGAGCUAGCGUUGUUCGGAAUCACUGGGCGUAAAGCGCACGUAGGCGGAUGUGUCAGUCAGGGGUGAAAUCCCGGAGCUCAACUUCGGAACUGCCUUUGAUACAGCACAUCUGGAGUCCGGAAGAGGUGGGUGGAAUUCCUAGUGUAGAGGUGAAAUUCGUAGAUAUUAGGAAGAACACCGGUGGCGAAGGCGGCCCACUGGUCCGGUACUGACGCUGGAGACGCGAAAGCGUGGGGAGCGAACAGG
rnacentral:rRNA from 1 species